CCUACGGGAGGCAGCAGUGGGGAAUAUUGCGCAAUGGGCGAAAGCCUGACGCAGCGACGCCGCGUGAGGGAUGAAGGUCUUCGGAUCGUAAACCUCUGUCAGCAGGGAAGAAAGGUCACUGUGCUAAUCAGCAGUGAAUUGACGGUACCUGCAAAGGAAGCACCGGCUAACUCCGUGCCAGCAGCCGCGGUAAUACGGAGGGUGCGAGCGUUAAUCGGAUUUACUGGGCGUAAAGCGCUCGUAGGCGGUAUGUCAAGUCAAGGGUGAAAGCCCCGCGCUCAACGUGGGAACUGCCUUUGAAACUGGCAAACUGGAGUGUGUGAGAGGAUAGUGGAAUUCCAGGUGUAGGAGUGAAAUCCGUAGAUAUCUGGAGGAACAUCAGUGGCGAAGGCGACUAUCUGGCACAUAACUGACGCUGAGGAGCGAAAGCGUGGGUAGCAAACAGGAUUAGAUACCCCAGUAGUC
rnacentral:rRNA from 1 species